GCCGUGCGUUAAACCAAAUGAAGAAGAACUGACGGUUGUUCGGCAGUUAUUGAAGGAUAAGAAAAAAACUCCAGCUGCACUCUAUAAAACUGCACCAAAGGAGCUUACAUUCUUACACCUUGCUGGAGCAUGCUUAAGUGUGUCUGCCACAAUGUCCUCCACUGUUGCUUGCUGGAUUCUAGGAUUGGACAUCGUCACUGCCUCUGUAAUAUUAAGUUCUGUGAUAAUGCAGUGGUUCAAGUACUGGUAAACAGUACUGUAUCGUUGGUAAUACAGGUUUUUUGAGUCACUAACAUAUUGUACUUACUUUUUAUGACCUUCAUAAUGUUCAUGUUUUGCAGUGGUCUCUUCCCUUUCUUCCCCUUGAGACUGAACUCCUUCCAGACACUGUAGGAGGCCAGUGCCCGAAUCACCCGCCGGGUGUUUUCCCCAGGGUUUGGACCUCCAACAAGACUUAAAUGGUGUAUCUACAAGAUGGAAUACAUUUUCAAAAUGAGAGAGGAGUUCCUCCAUAGUGCCACACACAUCAAGACUCAUCUCCUCCACUCGCUGACUAGUCCCAUCACCCAGGGCACGAGCAUAGAG